rnacentral:lncRNA from 1 species
GGCUACUAUAGUACUUUUGUUUUUAUUUGACAAACAUUAUCCAAUCACGGAGUAACUAGGCUCAAAAGAUUCAUCUCACAAAUUUCAGAUAAAUUGUGUAAUUAGUUUUUAUUUUUAUCUUUAUUUAAUGCUCUAUGCAUGUGAUUAAAGAUUCGAUGUGACGGAGAACCUUGAAAAUUUUUGCGAACUAAACAAGGCCCAAACCUACCCAGUUCAUGGCAUCGCGGCUCAUGACGUUUUUGUCCAAUUUUGAACCUCUCGGGUCCUAAAUGCUCAAAGUUUAGCACCC